rnacentral:rRNA from 1 species
UACGUAGGGUGCGAGCGUUGCCCGGAUUUAUUGGGCGUAAAGGGCGCGUAGGCGGCCACGCACGUCCGUUGUGAAAUCGCCCGGCUCAACUGGGCGGGGUCGGCGGAUACGGCGUGGCUGGAGCAAGCUAGGGGGCAAUGGAAUUCCCGGUGUAGUGGUGGAAUGCGUAGAUAUCAGGAGGAACACCGGUGGCGAAGGCGGGUCUCUGGGCCGAAAUUGACGCUGAGGAGCGAAAGCGUGGGGAGCGAACAGG